AUCACUCAAAGAUAUUGUUUAAAUGCAAAUUCUGAUUCAGUAGCAGGCAGGCCUGAGAUUUUGCAUUUUUAACAAACUUCCAGGUGAGGCUAU
rnacentral:pre_miRNA from 1 species